GCUUGCUUUGGCAGCACAUACUAAAAUUGGAACAAUGCAACAAUGUAGAGGAGAUUAGCAUGGCCCCUUUACCAGGAUGGCACGCAAUUUAGUGAAGCGCUCCAUAAAAAU
rfam:Pan troglodytes isolate Yerkes chimp pedigree #C0471 (Clint) chromosome 11, whole genome shotgun sequence.